AGAUGAUCAUUGCUACUUUAUAGCCAAAAGUUUGCUACUGUUACAAAUCAUAAUGUAAAAUUGAUAUGUAGGAUAUCUGAUAUCCUACUCCACAGGGGUCUUGACCCACUAGCUUAAGGGCUCUCAGAAUUCUGGCAGUCAGUGGGUCACAACUACUUGUAACUCCAGUGCCAAGUACCUCAUGCCCUCUUCUGGCCUCUUUGGGCAGCUGUAUUCACGGCAUUGGCACCUCAUGUUCGUUCUCUCUCUCUCUCUCUCUCUCUCUCUCUCUCUCUCUCUCUCUCCCUCCAUCACACACACACACACACACACAAUUUUUAAAAAGUGUCAUUAGCUUAAAACUUUGUCUCUUUAGAAACAACUAUAAAUUGUUUCAAUCUGAGAUGUCAGAUGUUUAAAUUAUCAGGAAAUUAGAGAACUAGAGAGAUGGCUGCUCUUUUAGAGGACCCAGGUUCAGUUUCCAGCACCCACAUGGCAGCUCUGGGGAUCUGUGCUCUCCUGGCAACAGGCACACACGUUGUGUAUAGGCAAACAUUCAAGCAAAAUAUUAUAUACAUUUAAAAAAGGAAAUUGGGCUAGACCACUUAUGAUAUACUUAAGGUACCAGUAGCAGGCAAAUGCUUGCUACUUUUUAGCUGCCCCUCCCUUUCCUCUUGAGCUGUAACUUAACUGACUUGUGUGGGCUUUAUGACUAAAGUAUAACUGAGUAGCUAAUUUGUUUAAAAGCACCUAUUUUAGAGUUUUAUAAAAGUAGUGUGAUACAUACAUACAUUGUUUUCUGUGGCUUUCAUGUUUGUUUUCAUUUUAUUAUACUCUUUUUCUUUUUUGUUUUUGAGACAUAGUUUCUCUAUGUAGCCUUGGUUGUCCUGGAACUUGCUCUGUAGACCAGGCUAGUGCCACCACUGCCCAGCUUCAUUAUACAUUCUGUCACUGGAAUUAACCCUACAAUAAAAUAUCGCCAAAAAAUAGCACCAGAAACUAGAUUGAGUUUAAGCUAUCUCAGGAUACUCAUAAACAUAUUUGCCAACAAGUCUGAAAGGAAGCUUGGAAGGAAGUAAAGGUUCUAACGGUGGGUGACUGACCUGCUUGCGGGGAUGCUGUGUGGCUGAGGGAGCUUUCAGAGCCGCAGGCUUGUGUGUUAGGUGUUGCCACCUCCGACAUUUGUGCAUGGCUUUUUAGUUCGGCUUCAAAUAAAACUUGAAAUGUCAGAAAUAUUUGUUACAUUAAAAUUUUUUACUGCAUUUUAACCAGGUGUGGUGACACCUGCCUUUAAUCCCAGCACUCAAGAGGCAGAGGCAGGUGGUUCUGAGUUCAAGGCCAGCCUACUCUACAUAGAAAGUUCCAGGUCAGCCAGGGCUACAUGGUAAGACCCUGUCUAAAAC
rnacentral:lncRNA from 1 species